UUCCUGGUAGUCCAGUGGUUAAGAUUCAGCACUCUUACUGCUAGGAUCUGGGUUCAAUCCCAGGUCAGAGAA
rnacentral:tRNA from 1 species